UUCCUACGGGGGGCAGCAGUGGGGGAUAUUGCACAAUGGGGGAAACCCUGAUGCAGCGACGCCGCGUGGGUGAAGAAGCGCCUCGGCGCGUAAAGCCCUGUCAGCAGGGAAGAAAAUGACGGUACCUGAAGAAGAAGCCCCGGCUAACUACGUGCCAGCAGCCGCGGUAAUACGGAGGAUGCGAGCGUUAUCCGGAUUUAUUGGGUUUAAAGGGUGCGUAGGCGGAUUUUUAAGUCAGCGGUAAAAUGUCCGGGCUCAACCCGGGCCGGCCGUUGAAACUGGGGAUCUUGAGUGGGCGAGAAGUA
rnacentral:rRNA from 1 species